GUGAGGAAUUUUCCGCAAUGGGCGAAAGUCUGACGGAGCAAUGCCGCGUGAAGGAUGAAGGCCUAUGGGUUGUAAACUUCUUUUCUUAGAGAAGAAUAUUGACGGUAUCUGAGGAAUAAGCAUCGGCUAACUCUGUGCCAGCAGCCGCGGUAAGACAGAGGAUGCAAGCGUUAUCCGGAAUGAUUGGGCGUAAAGCGUCUGUAGGUGGCUUCAAAAGUCUCCUGUCAAAGAUCAGGGCUUAACCCUGGGCCGGCAGGAGAAACUCUGAGGCUAGAGUUUGGUAGGGGCAGAGGGAAUUCCCGGUGGAGCGGUGAAAUGCGUAGAGAUCGGGAGGAACACCAAAGGCGAAAGCACUCUGCUGGGCCACAACUGACACUGAGAGACGAAAGCGAGGGGAGCAAAAGGGAUUAGAAACCCCAGUAGUCC
rnacentral:rRNA from 1 species